UUCCAUCCCCAAAAGGUCAAAACUACCCAAGCUCAGUUACAUCCAUCUUCUUCCCACUGCACCACAUUUAUCCUCUCAACCCUAAUUGUAGCCGUCGUCAGCCAUGGUCGACCCAAAUGUAGGGACGUACAUAAAAAGCCUAAUAAUUCACCCUAAAAUCGCUCAAGUCGUGGCGGAGGAGAAGCGACAUUAUUGAAUCGUUCUCCAAUUGCAAGGUUGGCCAACUCCAAUAUGAGUAGCAACGCGUCAAAUCAACUAUUCUUCAUUGUUUGUGGUUUUCUCUUAAAAAAAUCAUCAACAGGUUGUGCACCGGAGGAAAUCUGCACCUUCUCUCUGAGAUUCAGUAGAAUUUAAGUUCGAAAACGAGUUUUUAAGAGAUAUCCCAGAAAUGGACAACGCAGACAGGAAGAUAUUGUAUGAAGUUGUUGUUGAAGGGUGGUGGUGGAAAGCAAAAUACAUAUUAUAAAUCCAUAAAAGUGCAGCCACAGUGGCAAUCAAUGAAAAUGCUGACACGAUCCUUCAAAUAGCAGUUGAAAUGGGGCAGAACUAUUUGUAGAAAAACUGGUGGAGUUUUUAAAAGACGUAAAGAUACUGAAACACAAAAUUCUAAGGGUCAAACAGCCCUACACAUUGCGGCAAUGGUUGGUAAUAUGCACGCAGCCCAACUCUUGGUUCAGAAGAAGAAAGAGGAGCUGCUGGUGAUUCUAGAUAGCAAGGAAGAGUCACCAUUAGAUAUUGCUUAUGCCAAUAAGAAGAUCAAUACAUAUACAUAUUUCUUGAAAUGCCCUGAUCUAAGCCUUUCUUCAGACUAGUGUCAGGAAAAUGCUAUAUUGGCUGCUAUUUUAGUAAAACAAUAUGGCGAAGACAGGUAAAGAGGUGGAUCAGCUAUGACUAUUGACGAUGGGGCAACUAUAGGAGUUGCAGCCGUUGCUGUGGAUGGAGCAACUGCAGGAGGUGUUGCGGCUACUGGAGGAGCCACUAGAGGGGCACUAGAAAUUGCGGUUUCAUGACCGGUAGUUACAGACUUACAGGUGGUGGGGAUGCUGAUUCCGUCUCUCCAUCUCUUUAAAUAGUAAAAGAAAAUAAGACAAAACUUAAAGUAAUGUAACAAGAUAGGUGGGUUAAGAGUGGUAUGUUAGGUUGGGAUAACAAGUCCAAACAGGCAUCUUUUAUUUUCUUUUUUACUGGGCUGGGGAUUUAAAACAAACAGGUCCAGAUCGACCAAAAACACUCUUAUGUCCAAAAUUAAAAUUUCCAUAUUUGUGAACAGUAUAUUUUGCUCCUAAAUGCAAAAAUUAGAGUGGACGGUGCAGAAUGACGGUUAUAUUAUGUCAUUUCAACUUAUGCACUCUCGGGAUUGUUCACAUGUAUAUAAAUCUAGAAACCAUGGAUAUUGAUGUUUUUUAUAGGCUCAUUUUUUUGUUAUGGAAUAGUAAGCAACUGAAUUGCAUUAAUUUUAAGUUUAUUUUGAAUUUCUGAUGAAUGCUUGAUCAUCUUCAUCCCUAAAUCUGUUUUGCACAGCACACUGCACCCAGCACUUGUCGCUACCACACCCCGGCUUGCUAUUGAUUUUGACCAAGCGAAACAUGGAGAUUUUGAAUUCGUGACACACAUGACUUGUGUCUGAGGUAAAUUUUUAAUCCUUUUUUUUGCUAAUUGUUGAAAGUCAUUAGUGUUUCGUUGAAUAAAACCUAUACCUCAUAAAUUUGUAGAGUUGUUCAUAUUGAUUUUGAAUUCAAGUUUGUUUUCCUGAAAGUCAUUAGUGUUUUGUUAAAUAAACACUAUACAAUAGCAUCUGCACUUGAAACUUCAAGACCGACAUCAUCAUGGGAAGGUAGAGGUGGCAGAAGGAUUCGAUGGAAUUUUUCUAGGGGUCAAGGUUUUGGACUGGCAAGGGAAUCACUUAUUUCAUACCUUGCUGAUGAUGAUCUGUUUCAUCCGCUGCUAAUGCUGGGACAUGAUCAACGGGUCAUUGGCAAAUUUAUCAGAUGUUAGUAAUUGGGAUCAUAUGAAGUGGCUCUUGGAAUGUUUAGAAAUUGUUGAUACUUCUGUUAUUUUAUUGCCACUAUUUUUUUUUUGGUAAUUUAGGACUAAUCUUGAUAAGGCUGCUGUAUAUACUGGUAUUUUUGCUUUUGCAGAUAUUAUUGACUAUGUUUGGAAUGGGCUGCUAAUUUCUCUGAUCAGGUCGAUGUAAUCUUCUAUGAUUUGUGAAGGUGAACCCAGCCACAACGCAGCGGAUAUUACUAGUUAUCAACGUAAAGAUUCUUAUCAUGAAGCCUCUUUCCGUUAGGUGAUGGCAAUUCAGAUAACUGUACCCACUCAAUCUUUGGUUGGAGAGCUUAAAGUGAUGUCAAAGAAGUGAAUUUGUCAUUUAUUAAUUGCUCUUACAUCAUACUUGGCUGAUGCGUCGGCCAUAAGCAAUAAGUGCAGGGAACAACUAUAUAUGAAGUGAGAAAAUGAUGAUUAUUUUACUCGUAUGAAGAUUGUGAAAGAGAUUCAUGAACGCAAUGAAGUUUUGGUAUUUUGUUCUAAUGUUUAUUAAUUAUUUGUUUUGUAUGUUUGAUAUUUAGACUUAG